GGGGCUGUAGCUCAGUGGCAGAGCGCUUGCCUAGCAUGCAUGAGGCACUGGGUUUGAUCCUCAGCAUCA
rnacentral:tRNA from 1 species